rnacentral:rRNA from 1 species
AGAGUUUGAUCCUGGCUCAGAACGAACGCUGGCGGCGUGGCUAAGGCAUGCAAGUCGAACGGACUGUUAUUUUGGGUAACCGAGAUUUCAGUUAGUGGCGAACGGGUGAGUAAUGCAUAGGCAAUGUACCCUGGGCUCAGGAAUAGCCCGUCGAAAGGCGGUGUAAUACCUGAUGACAUCAGAGGAUCGCAUGGUCCACUGAUCAAAGCUCCGGCGGCCCUUGAGCAGCCUAUGUCCUAUCAGCUUGUUGGUGAGGUAAUGGCUCACCAAGGCAACGACGGGUAGCGGGCGUGAGAGCGUGACCCGCCACAUCGGGACUGAGACACUGCCCGGACACCUACGGGUGGCUGCAGCAACGAAUAUUCCGCAAUGGGCGAAAGCCUGACGGAGCGACGCCGCGUGUGGGAUGAAGUCCUUCGGGAUGUAAACCACUGUCAGGGGUUAGAAAGAUCUGAUCAGCCCCACAGGAAGCCUCGACUAACUCCGUGCCAGCAGUCGCGGUAAUACGGAGGAGGCUAGCGUUGUUCGGAAUUACUGGGCUUAAAGCGCGUGUAGGCGGAUGGGUAAGUGUCAAGUGAAAGCCCCCGGCUCAACCGGGGAACUGCUAGGCAAACUGCUCGUCUUGAGGCAGGUAGGGGUGCAUGGAACUCUAGGUGGAGCGGUGAAAUGCGUAGAUAUCUAGAGGAACGCCGGUGGCGAAAGCGGUGCACUGGGCCUGUUCUGACGCUGAGACGCGAAAGCGUAGGGAGCAAACGGGAUUAGAUACCCCGGUAGUCUACGCCGUAAACGAUGCGCACUAGGCUCGAGGAACUCUGACGUUUUUCGGGCCGCAAGAAAACCGAUAAGUG